GAUGAACGCUGGCGGCGUGCCUAAUACAUGCGAGUCGAACGGGGAGUAGCAAUACUCUUAGUGGCGAACGGGUGAGUAACGCGUUGGUACCUGCCCCGAAGCGGGGGAUAACGGACCGAAAGGUCCGCUAAUACCCCAUGUGCUCGGUAACGAGUAAAGGUGAAAACCACUUUGGGAGGGGCCUGCGUCCCAUCAGCUAGUUGGUAAGGUAACGGCUUACCAAGGCGAUGACGGGUAGGGGACCUGAGAGGGUGGCCCCCCACAAUGGAACUGAAACACGGUCCAUACACCUACGGGUGGCAGCAGUAGGGAAUAUUGGUAAUGGGCGCAAGCCUGAACCAGCAACGCCGCGUGUGCGAUGACGGCCUUCGGGUUGUAAAGCACUUUUGACUGGGACGAGGAAGGACGGUACCGGUCGAAUCAGCCUCGGCUAACUACGUG
rnacentral:rRNA from 1 species